rnacentral:rRNA from 1 species
UCAAAAUGUUAUACCAACACUAAUGCACCAUAUCCCUGAAGUUCAAAGUUAAACAUGUUUGGGACGAAGUAGUACUAAGAUGGGUGAUCUCCUGAGAAGUCCUUGACACCUUUAC